rnacentral:rRNA from 1 species
GAUGAACGCUGGCGGCGUGCCUAAUACAUGCAAGUCGAGCGAACGGACGAGAAGCUUGCUUCUCUGAUGUUAGCGGCGGACGGGUGAGUAACACGUGGAUAACCUACCUAUAAGACUGGGAUAACUUCGGGAAACCGGAGCUAAUACCGGAUAAUAUUUUGAACCGCAUGGUUCAAAAGUGAAAGACGGUCUUGCUGUCACUUAUAGCUGGAUCCGCGCUGCAUUAGCUAGUUGGUAAGGUAACGGCUUACCAAGGCAACGAUGCAUAGCCGACCUGAGAGGCUGAUAGGCCACACUGGAACGGAGACGCGGUCCAGACUCCUACGGGAGGCAGCAGUAGGGAAUCUUACGCAAUGGGCGAAAGCCUGACGGAGCAACGCCGCGUGAGUGAUGAAGGUCUUCGGAUCGUAAAACUCUGUUAUUAGGGAAGAACAUAUGUGUAAGGAACUGUGCACAUCUUGACGGUACCUAAUCAGAAAGCCACGGCUAACUACGUG